UCGAAGCAUUUUCCCCUGACAACAGAGCUGAUUAUUGUAUGGUCCCUUUUGGACACGUGUUUUUUCCUGGUAGUCAAGUUCCCUUUUCCUUUAAAACAGAAAAAGCAAAACAGAAUCUAGCUCCGUGAUUGGUAGAUUCCCUCCACUAAUUCACCGUCCUUCAGUUAGGAGAUUCUGGAAAUCCCCGUUGGUGUCACUUUUUCUUUUGACCGAAUAUGUCUCUAGUUGUCUGGCUACAGAAUUUCUUUCCUAAGAGCGGUCUGGCUCUUUCUGGCUUCAGCACACGCCGAAGUUCAUAGUUUGACCUACUAGCACAGGCCAAAAUUCAUAAAGAACUUUGGAGUGGGACAGUGGUCACAGGUGGCCCCAAAGAAGAUUACUUAACGCCUGCUUAAUAGGGGAAGAAGCCUGUGUGUCUGGCCCUUCCUUGAGCCUCAAGCUUGCGACAGAAGUUGCCUUCAGUCUUCAGCAGCUGCUGAAAUGAUACCGAAUUUUAUCUCAGGCUCCAGUCCUUUGGCAUCUGGACAACGAGGAUGAAAUUUUAGAAGAAAAAGAUGAAUCAAUUCAUUUUUGAGGCAUAAACUUUAUGGCGUGCUUUCCCACUCCGAAAUAAAACUAUCAACAUGCCAUUAUUUCCUGAUGCUGUCGGUUCGAAUCCUAAUGAGAAGGAAGCCUGAGCGAAAGUUGUAAUGUGAUAAGACCCAGUGAAGUGGAACACACAGAACAAGUUUUUCAGGUGUGGGGCGACAUAAUCAGAUUUCACACCUACUGAUCAGAGGAACAGCUUGUGUGAGACAAGAAAACCAUGAGACAUUUGCAUAGUCCAGGUGCGAAAGUGGAUACUGUGGGAAUGUGGACAGAAGUGAACCAUUUUCGAUCCUUGCGAUGGAUUGGAUGAAGAAAAGGAAGCUGACUUUCCUAGGCUUUCAAUUGGAGGCAAGCCAGUAACUUGUAACAACUCUCAGGAGCAGGGCACCCAAGAACUCUACAUGCUCAGACAAGAGAAAGGGGAAUUUUGAACUCCUAAGAAAGCCCUUUAAGGUGCAGAUGUUCGCAGCUGGAAAUUGUGCUGGUCCCCAUUGAUGAGGGGCUGAGAUGGUGAUUCAGUGGGAGAGCAUUUGUCUAGCACGAUGAAGGCCUUCAGUCCAAACUCCAGCCAAACAACACACACACACACACACACACACACACACACACACACACACACACACGUCUACAAUUGUUCUGACUCCUUGGAGCUUCUGCCUGACAGCUGAAAGUUGUCGCUGUCUGGUGAACACCAUCCCACAACCCGUUGAUGAGGAAGCAAAAGAAGUGACUUCCACUGCGGCAGGUCUCGUCAGUGUGGUAGGUCAUCUGCCAACCUUAUGACCUUGACCUACUUGUGUGCAGGCCUAACGUGACUGAGAAGAGAAAGUUCUAGGAAUAGUCAACAAAACUGGGGUUUCCCACAAAUGCAAUUGAGGAGAUAAAGUGUGCCUUCCCUGUCCUAGGCACAGCCAUCCACGAUGCUCUCACUCUGCCGCCUCCUGUCCCAUGGCUGCGAUGAACAUACCCACUUGAAGAAACCCUGUUGGUGGCUUCAUCAUGUGAAGUCUUAUUUCUUCCUCUCAUCUGCUGAAGAGUUGAAUUCUGUCAUCUCUUCUCACCUACUCGUUACAAAGUUCAAACUUUACCCCAUGAGUUGUUAUGAAAGACAGAGUGAAGACUGAGUUCUCAAGGAUUUUCUCUAUCCUGCUGUCGUGGUUUGACUCUUUCCCUUUUUUUCAGAGUGACUAGGAAAAGCCAACCCAGUGUCCAAGCAGGCUUCCUAAAGUGAUACAUGUCAUCUGUGUUUCAGCUGCUGGGAUGCCUAGAUGAGCUUAGACCGUGAAGAGUGGGUGAUCGCUGUUUAGUGGACAGUUCUCAACAUGAGCCUGCAACUCUCAAGUGGCAGUUGCUUAGACAUUUGGAGAAAACCCCAUUUCUUUGACCUUCAUCAGCAGCUGCAGUCUAACGGGAACCAUUGGGUCAUGACUUUUAUAGAGAUCUCUAGCUCCCAGCACAUAUGAGAAGCCACUCAGCACUUGAAGACUGACAGAGUUCACCUUUUGCCAAGUAUUUAUGAAAUUCCUGAGUACUUACAUAGCUAUUGUUAUCCAGCAGGACUUUUAUUGAGCAUCAAGGGUUCUUAGCUCAGGUUUUUACAAAUUAGUUUCAGAAGUCUAUAUAAGUCUUUAGAAUCUAUUCAUUAUCACUCUCCCAUACAUUCCUAUAGGUAUAUUUUCUUUUCUUUUCAGGGGAAAUUUUUUGAUUUUUAAAGGGUUCCAGAAAUAUCACCAUAUUAAAACUGUUAAUUUUUUAUAGACAGAUUUUACUCAAACAUUUGGUGCUUGCUUCCUUCUAUUGUCCUGUGGGACCCCCAAUCUGUUUUCACAAAGUUAAUCUUUGUAAGAGCACAUGUGGAAUUGCCUCAUUUGAAUUUGGUGUUGUGAUGUCAUAUGCUUUUUGUCAUCAAUAUUACAAGAUAAAGAUCAUUAAUUAUA